AAAAAAAAAAAUUUCUAUGUUUGGUCCUCAAGCUAUGAGGUCCGUAACUUUAAUUUAUUGUAGUUUCUGGGUCAAACAGUCAAAAUUAUUAUAACCAAAUUUAAUUGACUAAAUAUUAAUAUUUUGCUAAUAUAAAAGUGAUAUACCAGAAUUGCAAUAGAUAAUAUGACAAUAAUUAAUAUGGUACAUUAAUUUUGCUCUAGUGAUACGUCAAUAUUCAAUCAACUAAAUUAAAUCGUGGGACUUAAUUGUAUUGAAUGUUUAAGCCAUAGAUUAAUAAAAUUUAUUAAUUAUACAAUCUUUUUGG
rnacentral:lncRNA from 1 species